rnacentral:rRNA from 1 species
GGUUAAGCGACUAAGCGUACACGGUGGAUGCCCUGGCAGUCAGAGGCGAUGAAGGACGUGCUAAUCUGCGAAAAGCGUCGGUAAGGUGAUAUGAACCGUUAUAACCGGCGAUGUCCGAAUGGGGAAACCCAGUGCAAUUCGUUGCACUAUCGUUAACUGAAUACAUAGGUUAACGAGGCGAACCGGGGGAACUGAAACAUCUAAGUACCCCGAGGAAAAGAAAUCAACCGAGAUUCCCCCAGUAGCGGCGAGCGAACGGGGAGCAGCCCAGAGUCUGAAUCAGCUUGUGUGUUAGUGGAACGGUCUGGAAAGUCCGACGGUACAGGGUGAUAGUCCCGUACACCAAAAUGCACAGGCUGUGAACUCGAAGAGUAGGGCGGGACACGUGGUAUCCUGUCUGAAUAUGGGGGGACCAUCCUCCAAGGCUAAAUACUCCUGACUGACCGAUAGUGAACCAGUACCGUGAGGGAAAGGCGAAAAGAACCCCGGCGAGGGGAGUGAAAAAGAACCUGAAACCGUGUACGUACAAGCAGUGGGAGCACCUUCGGGUGUGACUGCGUACCUUUUGUAUAAUGGGUCAGCGACUUAUAUUCUGUAGCAAGGUUAACCGUAUAGGGGAGCCGCAGGGAAACCGAGUCUUAACUGGGCGUUAAGUUGCAGGGUAUAGACCCGAAACCCGGUGAUCUAGCCAUGGGCAGGUUGAAGGUUGGGUAACACUAACUGGAGGACCGAACCGACUAAUGUUGAAAAAUUAGCGGAUGACUUGUGGCUGGGGGUGAAAGGCCAAUCAAACCGGGAGAUAGCUGGUUCUCCCCGAAAGCUAUUUAGGUAGCGCCUCGUGAACUCAUCUUCGGGGGGUAGAGCACUGUUUCGGCUAGGGGGUCAUCCCGACUUACCAACCCGAUGCAAACUACGAAUACCGAAGAAUGUUAUCACGGGAGACACACGGCGGGUGCUAACGUCCGUCGUGAAGAGGGAAACAACCCAGACCGCCAGCUAAGGUCCCAAAGUCAUGGUUAAGUGGGAAACGAUGUGGGAAGGCACAGACAGCCAGGAUGUUGGCUUAGAAGCAGCCAUCAUUUAAAGAAAGCGUAAUAGCUCACUGGUCGAGUCGGCCUGCGCGGAAGAUGUAACGGGGCUAAACCAUGCACCGAAGCUGCGGCAGCGACACUAUGUGUUGUUGGGUAGGGGAGCGUUCUGUAAGCCUGCGAAGGUGACCUGUGAGGGUUGCUGGAGGUAUCAGAAGUGCGAAUGCUGACAUAAGUAACGAUAAAGCGGGUGAAAAGCCCGCUCGCCGGAAGACCAAGGGUUCCUGUCCAACGUUAAUCGGGGCAGGGUGAGUCGACCCCUAAGGCGAGGCCGAAAGGCGUAGUCGAUGGGAAACAGGUUAAUAUUCCUGUACUUGGUGUUACUGCGAAGGGGGGACGGAGAAGGCUAUGUUAGCCGGGCGACGGUUGUCCCGGUUUAAGCAUGUAGGCUGGUUGUCCAGGCAAAUCCGGAUAAUCAAGGCUGAGGUGUGAUGACGAGGUACUACGGUGCUGAAGUAACAAAUGCCCUGCUUCCAGGAAAAGCCUCUAAGCAUCAGGUAACAUCAAAUCGUACCCCAAACCGACACAGGUGGUCAGGUAGAGAAUACCAAGGCGCUUGAGAGAACUCGGGUGAAGGAACUAGGCAAAAUGGUGCCGUAACUUCGGGAGAAGGCACGCUGGUGUGUAGGUGAAGUCCCUGCGGAUGGAGCUGAGACCAGUCGAAGAUACCAGCUGGCUGCAACUGUUUAUUAAAAACACAGCACUGUGCAAACACGAAAGUGGACGUAUACGGUGUGACGCCUGCCCGGUGCCGGAAGGUUAAUUGAUGGGGUUAUCCGUAAGGAGAAGCUCUUGAUCGAAGCCCCGGUAAACGGCGGCCGUAACUAUAACGGUCCUAAGGUAGCGAAAUUCCUUGUCGGGUAAGUUCCGACCUGCACGAAUGGCGUAAUGAUGGCCAGGCUGUCUCCACCCGAGACUCAGUGAAAUUGAACUCGCUGUGAAGAUGCAGUGUACCCGCGGCAAGACGGAAAGACCCCGUGAACCUUUACUAUAGCUUGACACUGAACAUUGAGCCUUGAUGUGUAGGAUAGGUGGGAGGCUUUGAAGCGUGGACGCCAGUCUGCGUGGAGCCAACCUUGAAAUACCACCCUUUAAUGUUUGAUGUUCUAACGUUGGCCCCUGACCGGGGUUGCGGACAGUGUCUGGUGGGUAGUUUGACUGGGGCGGUCUCCUCCCAAAGCGUAACGGAGGAGCACGAAGGUUAGCUAAUCCUGGUCGGACAUCAGGAGGUUAGUGCAAUGGCAUAAGCUAGCUUGACUGCGAGCGUGACGGCGCGAGCAGGUGCGAAAGCAGGUCAUAGUGAUCCGGUGGUUCUGAAUGGAAGGGCCAUCGCUCAACGGAUAAAAGGUACUCCGGGGAUAACAGGCUGAUACCGCCCAAGAGUUCAUAUCGACGGCGGUGUUUGGCACCUCGAUGUCGGCUCAUCACAUCCUGGGGCUGAAGUAGGUCCCAAGGGUAUGGCUGUUCGCCAUUUAAAGUGGUACGCGAGCUGGGUUUAGAACGUCGUGAGACAGUUCGGUCCCUAUCUGCCGUGGGCGCUGGAGAAUUGAGGGGGGCUGCUCCUAGUACGAGAGGACCGGAGUGGACGCAUCACUGGUGUUCGGGUUGUCAUGCCAAUGGCACUGCCCGGUAGCUAAAUGCGGAAGAGAUAAGUGCUGAAAGCAUCUAAGCACGAAACUUGCCCCGAGAUGAGUUCUCCCUGAGACUUUAAGUCUCCUGAAGGAACGUUAAAGACGAUGACGUUGAUAGGCCGGGUGUGUAAGCGCAGCGAUGCGUUGAGCUAACCGGUACUAAUGAACCGUGAGGCUUAACCUU